GACGAACGCUGGCGGCGUGCCUAAUACAUGCAAGUAGAACGCAGUUGCGAACGGGUGAUUAACGCCUAGGUAACUGCCUGGUAGCGGGGGAUAACUAUUGGACACGUUCGCUAAUACCGCCUACUACCCGAUGGACCUGCGUUGUAUUAGCUAGUUGGUGAGGUAACGGCUCCCCAAGGCAAAGAUACAUAUCCGACCUGAGAUGGUGAUUGGCCAAACUGGGAAUUGGGCACGGGCCAGACUCCUACGGGAGGCAGCAGUAGGGGAUCUUCGGCAAUGGGGGGAACCCUGAACGGGCAAAGCCGCGGGAGUGAAGAAGGUUUUCGGAACGGAAAGCUCUGUUGUUAAGGAAGCGGUAUUUAACCAGAAAGGGACGGCUAACUACGUGCCAGCAGCCGCGGUAAUUC
rnacentral:rRNA from 1 species